rfam:Heterorhabditis bacteriophora unplaced genomic scaffold Scaffold1262, whole genome shotgun sequence.
CAUAAGGAUUUUUUCAAAUCCAUUGUCACAAAUUGUAUUUUAUUUU